rnacentral:rRNA from 1 species
GCAUAUCAAUAAGCGGAGGAAAAGAAACCAACAGGGAUUGCCCUAGUAACGGCGAGUGAAGCGGCAACAGCUCAAAUUUGAAAUCUGGCUCUCGGGCCCGAGUUGUAAUUUGUAGAGGAUGACUUUGAUGCGGUGCCUUCCGAGUUCCCUGGAACGGGACGCCAUAGAGGGUGAGAGCCCCGUCUGGUUGGAUGCCAAAUCUCUGUAAGUCUCCUUCGACGAGUCGAGUAGUUUGGGAAUGCUGCUCUAAAUGGGAGGUAUAUGUCUUCUAAAGCUAAAUACCGGCCAGAGACCGAUAGCGCACAAGUAGAGUGAUCGAAAGAUGAAAAGCACUUUGAAAAGAGAGUUAAAAAGUACGUGAAAUUGUUGAAAGGGAAGCGUUUAUGACCAGACUUGGGCUUGGUUAAUCAUCUGGGGUUCUCCCCAGUGCACUUUUCCAGUUCAGGCCAGCAUCAGUUUUCGCCGGGGGAUAAAGACUUCGGGAAUGUGGCUCCUCUCGGGGAGUGUUAUAGCCCGUUGUGUAAUACCCUGGUGGGGACUGAGGUUCGCGCUUCUGCAAGGAUGCUGGCGUAAUGGUCAUCAACGACCCGUCUUGAAACACGGACCAAGGAGUCGUCUUCGUAUGCGAGUGUUCGGGUGUCAAACCCCUACGCGUAAUGAAAGUGAACGCAGGUGAGAGCUUCGGCGCAUCAUCGACCGAUCCUGAUGUUCUCGGAUGGAUUUGAGUAAGAGCAUACGGGGCCGGACCCGAAAGAAGGUGAACUAUGCCUGUGUAGGGUGAAGCCAGAGGAAACUCUGGUGGAGGCUCGCAGCGGUUCUGACGUGCAAAUCGAUCGUCAAACAUGGGCAUGGGGGGCGAAAGACUAAUCGAACCUUCUAGUAGCUGGUUUCCGCCGAAG